ACGCCACCCUUUCAAGGUGGAUAUCGCGGGUUCGAAUCCCGCUGGGGGCA
rnacentral:tRNA from 1 species